rnacentral:rRNA from 1 species
GACGAACGCUGGCGGCGUGCCUAAUACAUGCAAGUCGAGCGGACGGAUGGGAGCUUGCUCCCAGACCGUCAGCGGCGGACGGGUGAGUAACACGUGGGCAACCUGCCUGUAAGCCUGGGAUAACUCCGGGAAACCGGGGCUAAUACCGGAUAACUCUUUCCCUCACAUGAGGGAAAGCUGAAAUAUGGCAUCUCGCUAUCACUUACAGAUGGUCCCGCGGCGCAUUAGCUAGUUGGUGAGGUAACGGCUCACCAAGGCGACGAUGCGUAGCCGACCUGAGAGGGUGAGCGGCCACACUGGGACUGAGACACGGCCCAGACUCCUACGGGAGGCAGCAGUAGGGAAUCUUCCGCAAUGGACGAAAGUCUGACGGAGCAACGCCGCGUGAGUGAUGAAGGUUUUCGGAUCGUAAAACUCUGUUGUCAGGGAAGAACAAGUACCGGAGUAACUGCCGGUACCUUGACGGUACCUGACCAGAAAGCCACGGCUAACUACGUG